CUUCUUUAUCCGAGGAAACACCAAAAUAAUCAGCACUCAACUCGUGAACACCUUGCCCAGGCUCGCUGGCUCAUGAGGGCAGAGUCUCGACAAGGAACCACUACUAGAGUCAAGGACAAGUCUCCCCCAAGCCCGACACCAUGAAGGCCUCGACAGUGAUGAUCGUCUUCGCAUUCUGUCUGAUCAUCAAAGGAGCUGAAAAUACAGGUGAUACCACUUUAACAUCAUCAACAGGGAAACUGACAUCUACUCCAGCUGGAGAAAAUAUGGUGGCUACUUCCCCUUCCUCUACAGUGCACACAACAACUACAGCAGUAACAACAGAACCCACAGGAAAAGCAAAUACAAAUUCAGCAACAACAAACCUUAACAGAACUGAAAAUGAAACGAAAUCAGGUGAUACCACUACAACAUCAUCAACAGGGAAACUGACAUCUACUCCAAUUGGAGGUAA